rnacentral:rRNA from 1 species
GAAUAUUGGACAAUGGGCGCAAGCCUGAUCCAGCAAUGCCGCGUGUGUGAAGAAGGCCUUCGGGUUGUAAAGCACUUUAAGUUGGGAGGAAAGCCUUUGUGUUAAUAGCACAGAGGUGUGACGUUACGAACAGAAUAAGCACCGGCUAACUCCGUGCCAGCAUCCGCGGUAAUACGGAGGGUGCAAGCGUUAAUCGGAAUUACUGGGCGUCACGCGCGCGUAGGCGGUUUGUUAAGUCAGAUGUGAAAUCCCCGGGCUCAACCUGGGAAUGGCAUUUGAGACUGGCAGGCUAGAGUGUGGUAGAGGUGAGUGGAAUUUCAGGUGUAGCGGUGAAAUGCGUAGAGAUCUGAAGGAACAUCAGUGGCGAAGGCGACUCACUGGGCCAUUACUGACGCUGAGGUGCGAAAGCGUGGGUAGCAAACAGG